ACCAUAUGCUCUUCCUUUAUUUUGUUUAGGAGUUAUCAUUCACUAACUUGGUUGUCCGCUUUAUUUGUCUAAUAAGAUUGCAUAAGAUUAGAUGUGUUAUUAGUCGGUGUGAUAACAUGGGCACUGUGUCCCUCAUAUCUUUAAUUGUGGAACUACCUGUAAAUCACUUUUUUCUCUCUGUCACUUUAUAUUUCAUAUGACCCGUUCUGUUUCUAUUCUGUUCCUGAUAGAAAUUAAGUUAGUUUCCAGUGUUGAGCUGGGCACAAGGCACACCCACUAGACUGUAAAUGAAGGUGGGAAAUGGAAGAAAAAUGUUGUUUUGGGAUGAUUCAUUGGUAGAUGAUUAUUCUCUGUAAAGCACAUUCUCAGCUCAUAGAAUACGGACUAAGUUGGUUGUGAGGACUUUGGGGAUGAAUAUCCCAGUGGAGAGUUGCCAAAGAAGUCUGGAAGAGGAAAUUAAUUAUCUUAGUCUUGGUAAAAACUAUCUACGCCCAAUGACCAGAGAUGCUGAAGAUGUAAAGGUUUGGACUGUGUGCCAAUCUGGAACUUUCUCAACCAAAACUUUAUUUGUUAAGCCUACAGAUUUAGAGUUUUAUCUUGAUAAGAUUGUAAUUAAGUUGGUGUCGAAGGGAAGAAUCUAGAAGAAAACUAAAACUUUCCCAUGGACUGCCUAAGUCAAAAUUUGAAGUUCAAACCAUUAAAAUGUUUCCUGUGGGGGUUGUUUGGUGGGGUGGGGGAAUUAGUGAAGGUGAUGACCCCACCGGAUAAUUUCUUUGACUAGGUUAUUGUCUACAAGAAAAAGAAUGGGAUUUAUCCAUAUGUGCUUUCCACUGCAAUAAUGGAGUUAGAUAGUAUGUUAAAUUUUCCUUCACCUACUAGCUUAAGCUUUUAGAUUAAAUUGGUGAUUUAAGAUGGUAUCAGAGCAGGUGGUUUAGGGAGGUCUUGUGCUUAAGUCCCGUUAUUUUCUCUCCCUUUAAUAUUAAUUUCCACUUGUUGGGUCGUUCUUGAUAUUUUAGGCCCACAAGUGAGGGCUUGAUAUUUUAAGCCCACAAGUGUGGAGGAGCGUUAGAUAUUAAUUUACGAUAAAAGAAUAUUUGAAUGUAUUAUAUGGCAUCAUUUAAUCUACAAUGGGUUUUCAUGUCUCUGUUAGACAGAAUAUCCCAUCAUUACUGUACGGGUGUGGUUUCAGUUGGAAGACACAGAUGGAUAGGGUCAACCUAUCUCCAGUUAUGUGGGAGCUGUGGUUGCAAAGAUAUCAUAGGAUGUUUAGCGGUGAGGCCUUUUGGUAGACAUCAAGAGAAAAAGAAGUUUGGGUACAGCAACAGCAUAAUUCAAGAAGACAACAAGAAGGUGCAAGAAACCUUCAACCACCUCCCAAACAACCAAUUCCAAAUUAUUACAGAGAAGAGGAACAACGUUUUCAUCAAAGACCCAUUCAAGAAUUGACAAGAUGGCCGCAAGAAAUACCAAGAACUCCCGCAGUGACUAAACAAAGCAACUGGAAACCUAUACAACCAUGUAAUGCUACAACAGGGGAAUUCAGGGCUCCCUAACUACACUAAGAUCUUAAUAAUCUGUGUGUGUGUGUUUCCCCCCUUUUUUUCAUUUUAGGUAUUAAUAUUUGUUUCUAUUCUAUGGUUUGAGUCAGACAUUUACAUGCAAGUUAAUAAAUUUUAACCAAUUGC